GGCCAGUUAGCUCAGUCAGUUGAGCAUGGCACUAACAAUGCCAAGGUCACGGGUUCGAUUCCUGUUCAGUCCC
rfam:Apaloderma vittatum contig51421, whole genome shotgun sequence.